ACACUGAUACACCCAUCCUUUAUACACUGGUACACACUGUAGCCUUGCUCUAGCUGACUUGCUGCUUGCUCCUAACUUGUAUGGUUUUCUUCUUCUUCCUUUUAUAAAGUCCUUCUUUCUUUAUUGUGGUUACAAGAUGAUUGACGUUCACUUCCAGUCAUUAGUUUCAUUUAUUAGCCGUAGCUUUGACCUGAUCUACUAUUUGGUUCUAUUUCUCCUCCUCCUCUUAUCAGGAGAUGUUGAACUUAAUCCUGGUCCUAUGAUUGAUGAUAAACCAAACAGUCACUUAUUUGCAAAAUAUCUAGAACCACUUAAUGAUUGGGAAUUAUUUGCUCUCUGUCUUCCUGGAAUAACAAAAACUCAUGUUAACACUAUCGG